rnacentral:rRNA from 1 species
UUUCGGGUCCAAACAGGCACACUCAAUCUCAACCUCCAUGGAGGCCGGACGGUGUUGGGCAUUCAUUUGUGUGCACACCAUUGGGCUUGCGCCCUCCCUUUCAGUACGAGAGAUGGUACUUAUGUAAAAUCCUCUCCCUUGCGCGUCUGUUUGACUCCUUGGUCCGUGUUUCAAGACGGGUGGAGGCACCCCAUUUCCAGCGUCAAGUUUUGAGCAUCACAGGAAAGAUGCGGCUCGCGAAACCAGUGGGGUUUUAAUCCAAAAGCUCCGACUUCCACACCUUUACUCCCGCUCGCUUUACCGGAACCCCUAUUCUGCACUUGUUGCCUACGUAGCCACUACGUGUCGUACUUAGGAUAAUGCUUAGGUGGUCGGCCUUGACCGAAAUGAAAUGGAGGUACGUCCAUUGUCGUUGUCACGACUUCAGGUUCUAUGUCACUCUCUUUCCAAAGUGCUUUUCAAACUUUCGCUCACGCUACUUGUUCGCUAUCGGUCUUCCUA